ensembl:lncRNA
GGACACCCAGCCCCACACACUGAUGGAAGGAUGGGUGGAUGGACACCCAGCCCCACACACACAGGUGGACACUCGGUGGCUCAGCAUCGCUGCAUCUGGACGACUCCAUGGCCACGUGCACCUGGCUGCUCCCACUCACAGCAUCCCACGUGCCCCACACCCACACACUCCUCUGCACCCACGGGCACCUGAGUGCAGCCCUAGCCCCCAGCCAGCUCCCCACACACACCUGAUGUAGGGGAACCAGGUGAUUCCCCUGCCAUGGGGCUGUCCAGGAGAGGGCCCAGGGGAGCCUGAGGCAGAUGGGUGUCAUGACACAAAACAUGAAACCUGAGGCCAUCCCUCAGCUCAGCUGCACAGAUGGCACAGAGCUGGGGAGCAUUAACCACCACAGGGUCUCACCCCAACACCAGGUCUGGGGACACCAACCACAGCAGGGACAGCCAGUUCACCACACCCAAACAAGUGCUCCAGCACCUGCUGUGCCACCACAGCACCUGCAUCCCUUUGGGAAGAUGAGAGGUUCCCCAGGAAUGGGAAAUCAGCAGGUUCUGUCACAAUGGAGCUCCAUACCUUCAUCUUUUGUAGUCCUCUCACUCCAACAUAGCACCCCCACAUGCCCACAGAUAGGCUGUUCUCCCCCUUACCUCUGCCCACCAAAAACUUCAGCUAAUUCCCAGCCCAAAGAGCUCCUGAUCUUCCUGCAGGAGAAGGCCAGGCAGGCAAGGAGAGCCCAUCACCACCCACUGCCCCGAGCUGCCGAUUUCGGGCCAACCAGACUCCUGGUGAAACACCGAGCGCUGGCAACCACGCUGCAAACAUCUGCUCUUCCAACAGCAUCGUGAUUCACAGGCUAUUAAUUGGGGCAUGGCAGCUCUGGGAACUGUUUGCAUCCCCUGGCUUUGCUCAGAGCCACAACUCGCUGCUGACAAGGUCUAGAGGCCGGAGACAGAGCCAAACCUGGCCGCAGUGGAGCCGCACUGGGACCGGCCGCGGGGCACAGUGCCCAGCUCCCACACCAGCUGCACGGACACCCGGGAGCUGUGCAGAAUGAGCCCCAGGAAAGCAGCAGCAGUGGUGCCCAGUGCUUGGCAGGAGCAGCCAGAGCCACAGUGCCCAGCAGAGCCAGCUGGCAGCGGGCAGGCUGCCGCUCUGACAGGGUGGAUUGGCGGGUGCUGGGGGUGCUCUUCAAGUUACUGUCACCAAACAUCAGCGUGUUUCCAUAGUGUCUCCCAGCCGCUGAGCCACUCACUCCCAGGGGUACUCACUUCAAGGGGAGCCACGGAGCAGACCCUGCUCGGGCAGCACCAAACAAAGGCUGUGGGGAGCCUCCAACAGCAGCCAAGAGGAAUCUGAAUUCAGAGGCUGAUUAGAAACCAUGUCAUGACUUCUUCCUGCUCCAGCAUUUUGGGGAGGAGUGAGCUGGGGGGCGACGUGGAAAACCUAAUUAAGAUUGAGGGCAGGUUGCAGAGGCACUGACACAGGCACUGCAGGAGCACAGCUGCUUGUGGGAGGGGGACACCAGGUGCUGCAGCACCCCUGGCCCCGCAGAAAUGGGGAAGGUACAAAUCAAUUCUCCUUAAUCCGAUGGGCACUUGCUCUGCUGCCAUGUGCUGCGGUGGCUGACAGAGAGCAGCCCGGCCUCCUCCCAGCUCAGCUUUUGGACCCGUGGUGGCCCAACCCUCUCUGUCCCCCUGCCAGUGACACUGUACAGCCAUGGGAAUGAGCCGCUAAGCAGGACAAGGGCGAGCAGAAGGAGCUCAAUCCUGCCUGGUUUGGAGGAGGUGAGUGCUGAGCUAUCUGCCCUGUCCAUGGCUCUCCAUGUGCCCCCCCCGUGCUGCUGCUCGUAGAGGGACCAGGCAUCACAGGGCCGUUGAGAUGGCCACGAUCUGAGGCCACUUUGUCAGAGCAGGCUUUACACCUGGUUCUUGGGGAUGGCACAGAGGCCAGGCUGAGGGGGCACUACACAGGGUCUGCAGCACCAGGCACCGCUCUGCACGUCCCUCUCCUGUUGCCCUCCGCAGCACCUGUCAUGCCCUGUUGGCUCAGGGCUGUCCUCCCUGCUGCGAGGAGCUGUCACCCCACGGCAGGGGGUGUCCCCCAGGACACGUCCAGCCGCAG